rnacentral:rRNA from 1 species
AUGAGUGACCUUGUUUUCAUCAAGUUCAACUCGAAACUGAAGGACAAGAAACUAAACAAACGCAAGGACCCCAUUGAGAAGCAGGUGGUCGAUGUUUUAGAUGAUGAUGAGAAUGAAUGGAUCACUGGUGUGGUGCCAAAUGGUGAUGAAGAACAAGUUGAAGGUGAAGAUCUAGAUCAAGAAAUUCCAUAUGCAAACUCACAUGCUGGACCAGGAACUUCUGCUAUUAAUCCAUUUAAAAGGAAGAGGGGUGUCUAUGGUAAGAAGAAGAUGAUGAUGAUGAUCCCUGUUACUCCUCAAGAAGAUCUGCUCUCUGCUUCCUCUGCUUCAGAAAGUGACGACGACGAGGACACCGACAUGAGUUCUGGUUCUGACAUGUGA